rnacentral:rRNA from 1 species
GAUCAUGGCUCAGGAUGAACGCUAGCUACAGGCUUAACACAUGCAAGUCGGAGGGGCAGCAUGAACUUAGCUUGUCUAAGUUUUGAUGGCGACCGGCGCACGGGUGAGUAACACGUAUCCAACCUGCCGAUGACUCGGGGAUAGCCUUUCGAAAGAAAGAUUAAUACCCGAUGGCAUAGUUCUUCCGCAUGUAGAACUNUUAAAGAAUUUCGGUCAUCGAUGGGGAUGCGUUCCAUUAGG